rnacentral:rRNA from 1 species
CCUACGGGAGGCAGCAGUAGGGAAUAUUGCUCAAUGGGGGAAACCCUGAAGCAGCAACGCCGCGUGGAGGAUGAAGGUCUUCGGAUCGUAAACCCCUGUCAUGUGGGAGCAAAUUAAAAAGAUAGUACCACAAGAGGAAGAGACGGCUAACUCUGUGCCAGCAGCAGCGGGAAUACAGAGGUCUCAAGCGUUGUUCGGAAUCACUGGGCGUAAAGCGUGCGUAGGCUGUUUCGUAAGUCGUGUGUGAAAGGCGCGGGCUCAACCCGCGGACGGCACAUGAUACUGCGAGACUAGAGUAAUGGAGGGGGAACCGGAAUUCUCGGUGUAGCAGUGAAAUGCGUAGAUAGCGAGAGGAACACUCGUGGCGAAGGCGGGUUCCUGGACAUUAACUGACGCUGAGGCACGAAGGCCAGGGGAGCGAAAGGGAUUAGAUACCCUGGUAGUC